UACGGGGGGGGCAAGCGUUGUUCGGAAUUACUGGGCGUAAAGAGCUCGUAGGCGGCUUGUUGCGUCGACCGUGAAAACCCGCGGCUCAACUGCGGGCUUGCGGUCGAUACGGGCAGGCUGGAGUUCGGUAGGGGAGACUGGAAUUCCUGGUGUAGCGGUGAAAUGCGCAGAUAUCAGGAGGAACACCGGUGGCGAAGGCGGGUCUCUGGGCCGAUACUGACGCUGAGGAGCGAAAGCGUGGGGAGCGAACAGG
rnacentral:rRNA from 1 species